GGUAACGGUAAUACCACGUUGAAAACACCGGUUCUCGUCUGAUCACCGAAGUUAAGCAAUGAUGGGUUUGGUUAGUUCUUGGAUGGGUGACCGCCUGUGAGUACAAAUCGUUUGUUGUCU
rfam:Macrostomum lignano uti_cns_0002835, whole genome shotgun sequence.